GAGCACGUAGGUGGGUUUGUAAGUCAGGUGUGAAAGCCUUCUGUUCAAAGGAAGAACGGCAUCUGAAACUGCAGAUCUUGAGUGUAGGAGGGGAGAGUGGAACUUCUGGUGGAGCGGUGAAAUGCGUAGAUAUCAGAAGGAACGUCGGCGGCGAAAGCGACUCUCUGGCCUAUUACUGACACUGAGGUGCGAAAGUUAGGGGAGCAAACGGGAUUAGAUACCCCGGUAGUCCUAACCGUAAACGAUGGGCACUAAGUAGAGGGAAUUACCAAUGUUCUCUCUGCCGUAGCUAACGCAUUAAGCGCCCCGCCUGGGGAGUACGGCCGCAAGGCUAAAACUCAAAAGAAUUGACGGAGGCUCGCACAAGCGGUGGAGCAUGUGGCUUAAUUCGAUGCAACGCGAAAAACCUUACCGGGGUUUGACAUGGUAGAAGUAGGAGCCCGAAAGGGUAACCAACGGUAUCCAGUCCGUAACUAUCACAGGUGUUGCAUGGCUGUCGUCAGCUCGUGUCGUGAGACGUUGGGUUAAGUCCCCUAACGGGCGAAACCCUUGUUUUUAGUUACCAUCGGGUUAUGCCGGGUACUCUAAAAAGACUGCCGUCGUCAAGACGGAGGAAGGUGGGGAUGACGUCAAGUCAUCAUGGCCCUUAUACCCCGGGCUGCACACGUGCUACAAUGGUCGGUACAAAAGGAAGCAAGACCGAGAGGUGAAGCGAAUCC
rnacentral:rRNA from 1 species